rnacentral:rRNA from 1 species
UAAUACCGUAUAACAAUCGAAACCGCAUGGUUUUGAUUUGAAAGGCGCUUUCGGGUGUCGCUGAUGGAUGGACCCGCGGUGCAUUAGCUAGUUGGUGAGGUAACGGCUCACCAAGGCGACGAUGCAUAGCCGACCUGAGAGGGUGAUCGGCCACAUUGGGACUGAGACACGGCCCAAACUCCUACGGGAGGCAGCAGUAGGGAAUCUUCGGCAAUGGACGAAAGUCUGACCGAGCAACGCCGCGUGAGUGAAGAAGGUUUUCGGAUCGUAAAACUCUGUUGUUAGAGAAGAACAAGGAUGAGAGUAACUGUUCAUCCCUUGACGGUAUCUAACCAGAAAGCCACGGCUAACUACGUGCCAGCAGCCGCGGUAAUACGUAGGUGGCAAGCGUUGUCCGGAUUUAUUGGGCGUAAAGCGAGCGCAGGCGGUUUCUUAAGUCUGAUGUGAAAGCCCCCGGCUCAACCGGGGAGGGUCAUUGGAAACUGGGAGACUUGAGUGCAGAA